GGGGACGACAGGCUUCGACGUGGGCGUUCGUGGGGGCAGUUGCGAGUCGAGGUUGCCGGUAGGCCUCGUAAAACAACCGGCAAAACCAUAAGUGCGGAUGAGAACCACUCAUUCGCGCUCGCCUAGUUACAGCUAGGUAGAGCGUCCCGGCCUCCCCUCGGCCCGUGGGGGAGAUGUCCGGGAUCAGAAACGGGCUAGCCCCCGGUGUGCGCCUCUGGCGCCGGGGGGACACGACUCAGAGGCUGGUCCCGGGCAACCCCGCCGGCCAGGCGAGCUCGGGACGAGAUCAGAGGGCCGGCUACGCUCGUAGAAGCUGUCCUUUACACGGCCGCGGACGUGGGUUCGAUUCCCACCGUCUCCACUG
rnacentral:tmRNA from 1 species